rnacentral:rRNA from 1 species
CCCUCCAGUUGGGAAUAAUCCCGCGAAAGUGGGCCUAAUACCGAAUGACAUCGCUUCUCUUCGGAGGGGUGAUUAAAGAUGGCCUCUGACGCAAGCUAUCGCUGGGGGAGGGGCCCGCGUCCUAUUAGCUUGUUGGUGAGGUAAUGGCUCACCAAGGCGACGAUGGGUAGCCGACCUGAGAGGGUGUCCGGCCACACUGGAACUGAGACACGGUCCAGACUCCUACGGGAGGCAGCAGUGGGGAAUAUUUCGCAAUGGGCGCAAGCCUGACGAAGCGACGCCGCGUGGACGAUGAAGGCCUUCGGGUCGUAAAGUCCUGUCGGGUGGGAAGAAAAGUAUGAGUUCAAGUAGAGCUCAUGCUUGACGGUACCACCCAAGGAAGCCCCGGCCAACUCCGUGCCAGCAGCCGCGGUAACACGGGGGGGGCAAGCGUUAUUCGGAAUCACUGGGCGUAAAGGGCGUCUAGGCGGUCGGGUAAGUCGUGGGUGAAAGCCCCCGGCUCAACCGGGGAAGUGCCUGCGAAACUAUCCGACUUGAGGUCGGGAGAGGAAAGUGGAAUUCCCAGUGUAGCGGUGAAAUGCGCAGAUAUUGGGAGGAACACCAGUGGCGAAGGCGGCUUUCUGGACCGACCCUGACGCUGAAGCGCGAAAGCUAGGGGAGCAAACGGGAUUAGAUACCCCGGUAGUCCUAGCCGUAAACGAUGGGCACUUGGUGUAGCGGGGUUUAAGACUCGCUGUGCCGAAGCUAACGCAUUAAGU